rnacentral:ncRNA from 1 species
GCGAUAGAGGUGCGAAAACAAUCAGUAGUUUGCGACAGAAUUCAGCUAUUCAUUGACCGUAUAACAAAAGGUGUUUUUGCCGAAGAUAAAGCUACUGCUGAUAAACUUUAUCUGGGGAUAUUGUGAAUAACAAUAUAACUGUCAUCAUUGUUUGAUGGAGUGCUAUCUG